rnacentral:sRNA from 1 species
GGAGUGAGAAAAAUAAGAGUCAUUGAACUUCAUUUUUUUUAAAAAAGAAUAUCACUUUGCUGUCCUUUCUAAUAUAGCAUUUCCCCAAUUAUGUACUUGUUUAUUGACAUUUUAUAAUGUAGGUAAAUUUUUAAUCAGUUUUUAAUUGAUACCUAAUUAACCUCGAGCUCUUGUCCUCCUGCCUUUUUUCACUUCUUUACUCUUGCAGCAUUCCUUCCUAGUAGCUUCUGUAUGUACACUACGUUGAUAGCCAUGACUGGAUGGUAUAUGGACAAGACUUCCAUUGCUGUGCUGGGAGUAGCAGCUGGGGCUGUCUUAGGCUGGCCAUUCAGUGCAGCUCUUGGUUUACCCAUUGCCUUUGAUUUGCUGGUCAUGAAACACAGGUGGAAGAGUUUCUUUCAUUGGUCGCUGAUGGCCCUCAUACUAUUUCUGGUGCCUGUGGUGGUCAUUGACAGCUACUAUUAUGGGAAGUUGGUGAUUGCACCACUCAACAUUGUUUUGUAUAAUGUCUUUACUCCUCAUGGACCUGAUCUUUAUGGUACAGAACCCUGGUAUUUCUAUUUAAUUAAUGGAUUUCUGAAUUUCAAUGUAGCCUUUGCUUUGGCUCUCCUAGUCCUACCACUGACUUCUCUUAUGGAAUACCUGCUGCAGAGAUUUCAUGUUCAGAAUUUAGGCCACCCAUAUUGGCUUACCUUGGCUCCAAUG